ACUGUUAAUUUCCUGACAAAAUGAGUUUCGGUUUCGCCUCUCCACGCUCGUCAACCCCCAAAUAAACUUCUACUUUUUCACAAUCACUGGUUCUCUCUCUCUCUCUCUCUCUCAACCGAAUUCUUGGGCUUCUUCAAAAUUUUCUCCUUUUAAGUUAUCUUUUAUGGGGAGAAUUUCAGGUUAGGUUUCGAAACUCAACUUACGUAUGCGACCGGUUGCUAUGUAAACCAUCGAACUACAAAACAAAGCGGAGAUUUGAAUUUCAGUUGAAGUUUUGAUUUUGAAGGGACUGGCGUAUGAUGUGUUUGUGACUCUAGGUUUGAGAAGUACGACAAUAACAGAGGUGGCUGUGAUUGGGAGUUGUAAAAAUGAACCGUUCUGUGGCUACGGCCACAGCCCGAGGUGGACUGGCAACAGAUAGAGGGGACUCUGUUGUUAAAUUGGAUCAAGUUCCACGUUGGAGUGAUGCGGAGCACAGGUCUUCUUUGGAGUUUGAGAAUGGAGGUCCUUCAUUUUCUAAUCCGCUCAUUCCUCAUACUUUGACUGCUUCUGGGGCGGAGAGUGGUAGCAAUGGAAUAAUGUCGAGAUUUCUGGUUGAUCACGAGAUUAACUCAAAGAUAUAUCUUUGGAGGGGGAACCCAUGGAAUCUUGAGGUAGAUGCCGUUGUAAACUCAACAAAUGAGAACUUGGAUGAAGCACACAGCAGCCCUGGUCUGCAUGCUGCGGCUGGACCUAGUCUUGCAGAAGAAUGCGCUACACUGGGUGGAUGCCGAACAGGGAUGGCAAAAGUUACAAAUGCGUAUGACCUUCCUGCUAGGAGAAUUGUCCAUACUGUUGGUCCUAAGUAUGCUGUGAAAUACCAUACUGCUGCAGAGAAUGCUCUUAGCCAUUGCUAUCGUUCUUGCCUUGAACUUCUCAUUGAAAAUGGGCUUAAAAGUGUUGCUAUGGGCUGUAUAUAUACAGAGGCUAAAAACUAUCCUCGUGAACCAGCUGCUCAUGUGGCUAUAAGAACUGUGCGGCGGUUUCUUGAGAAGCAGAAAGAUAAAAUAACAGCUAUUCUUUUUUGUACUAUCACAUCAACUGAUACUGAAAUAUAUAAGAGGUUGCUGCCACUCUACUUUCCAAGAGAUAAAUAUGAGGAGGAGGUGGCCAUCUUAAAGUUACCUGCAGAUGUUGGGGAUGAGAAUGGUGAGACUAUUAUAGAUGAACGUAAAAUUAGAAUAAAGCCUUUGCCCAAGAAGACAACUCCCAAACCUCCCCAGGCUCCAAUUGAUCUUCCUUUUAGUGAUGCUGGCUUGGUAAGAAGGAAUUCAUCAUACUUGGAUUCAUUUCUGGAUCCUGCGUUCAUGUCUAUAAUAAAAGAUCCAGAUCAGAGACGCAAGGAAGAAUGGGCAAAAAAGGGUCAAACACAGAUGGGUUGGAAUUGUCCUAAAAUGCUUGGAUUUGGUGACCUUGGUGGACCUCCAUUAUCUGCCACAGAGGAAUACUUACUUCAUUCUAGAUACCUUGCAAAAGCAAAUUCUCUCAGUCUUUCCGAAAUAGCAGAGAUGAAAAUUGUUUACCGUGGUGGGGUAGACAGGGAGGGUCAUCCUGUAAUGGUUGUUGUGGGGGCACAUUUUCUGCCGCGAUGUCUUGAUUUGGAGCGAUUUGUACUCUAUGUAGUAAAGGAGUUCGAGCCCUUGAUUCAGAAGCCUUAUACUGUUGUAUACUUCCACUCUGCUGCAUCUUUACAGCUGCAACCGGACUUGGGAUGGAUGAGAAGAUUACAACAGAUACUUGGUCAGAAACACCAGCAAAAUCUGCAAGCAAUAUAUGUUCUUCACCCGACAUUUGGGCUUAAAGCUUCAAUAUUUGCCCUGCAAUUGCUUGUAGACAGUGUGGUGUGGAAGAAAGUGGUAUAUGUUGAUCGACUUUUGCAGCUGUUCAGAUACGUUCCUCGAGAGCAGUUGACCAUCCCCGACUUUGUAUUUCACAGGCAUGAUUUAGAAGUGAAUGGAGGGAAGGGUCUCACUGUGGACCCGAGAACAAAAUAUGUAUAUCAACGACCGUAGAAAUCCUGAAUGCAGUUCCAUCAGGCGAUUAAAAGCAGGAUGACUUGUUUGGUAUUGCAUCCAGUUUAAUUAUUCGUAGUUCAAGAGACCACUCUCAAAAUCAAGACAUACCGGUUUUUUAUCUUAUCAAACUCAGCCUUUUCCCAAUCGUCUGCUUUUGUUUCAUCCCUUAAAGAUCCCAUUGUACUCUGCUCUUGGGCGUCAGUUGGUGGGAUUAAAGUUUCAGGUUGUAUGAUGACAGUGCUGUUCAAGUGCUCGGCAAAAGUUGGAGCCUUUUUAAUUGAAGGGGCAGGCCGAAUGUGCUUUUCGGGAAUCUUUUCAGUCGUUGCAGCAGUUAUUUGAAUCUUGCUAUCUUGGCCUUCUGAUACUUUGAUUGAAGUUUCACCUAAUACAGAUCAUCUCAAGAAAUUUUGUUGAAAAGAAGUAUAAUCGGGAACUCAUAUAACUUUCGGUACUCAUGAUCAGUGUCUUUUACCUGGCAAUCGCUUGGAUACCCUACCAAAUUCAGGGGCCAAGCUUGGUUUAUCCUCCUCUUUGCUUUUGCUUGUGAUCGAAGAGGUUUCAGGGUGUUCCCUCAACUCUUUCUGAUCUGGGAUGCCUAUUUCUUCAAGUCUUUUGAUGGCCAAUGCAACUGCUGCCACUGCGGCUGUAUGCUCUAUUAUAUUGUUUGGAUGAUCAUCCCGACUCAUUUGCCUAGAGAACUGUCUUUGGAACCAGUUCUGAGAUUUCGUUUCCUCUGUAAGACAAAACAUUAACUAGGGUUUGUGAUUGAUUGCUGCUCCAUCCAUACAACUAGCUUACCUUUGAAACUUCGAUUCUUCCGAGGUGGUGCUCCUUGAUCCAUGAUGCUGCCAGCCUCUUCAGUCUCUCCUUUUUUACACCAGAAUAUCUCAACCUAGCCAGAAGUAAAGUCACAAGUGCAGCCAAUGAUGCAUAUAAUUCUGUAGCUUUCUUCUCUCAUGCAUGCAAGUUGCAACCAUUAUCUUUGAUGACCAUCAAUUGACACUACCAUAAUUUGUGAUAUUUAGUCUAUAACCCAGUUGUAGCCACUUGGCAUAGAAACUAAUUUACUUAAAGAUUAUAAAUUCUAGCGGUGGCUAACACAUUGAUUUCUGAAACCCAGUUUAUUUCUGGAAUUUAGUUUCUAAAAA